rnacentral:rRNA from 1 species
GACGAACGCUGGCGGCGUGCCUAAUACAUGCAAGUAGAACGCACAGUUUAUACCGUAGCUUGCUACACCAUAGACUGUGAGUUGCGAACGGGUGAGUAACGCGUAGGUAACCUGCCUGGUAGCGGGGGAUAACUAUUGGAAACGAUAGCUAAUACCGCAUAAUAUUAAUUAUUGCAUGAUAAUUAAUUGAAAGGUGCAAUUGCACCACUACCAGAUGGACCUGCGUUGUAUUAGCUAGUAGGUGAGGUAACGGCUCACCUAGGCGACGAUACAUAGCCGACCGGAGAGGGUGAUCGGCCACACUGGGACGGAGACACGGCCCAGAAUGCUACGGGAGGCAGCAGUAGGGAAUCUUCGGCAAUGGACGAAAGACUGACCGAGAAACGCCGAGGGAGUGAAGAAGGAUUUCGGAUCGUAAAGCUCUGUUGUAAGAGAAGAACGGGUGUGAGAGUGGAAAGUUCACACUGUGACGGUAUCUUACCAGAAAGGGACGGCUAACUACGUG